rnacentral:rRNA from 1 species
AUGACUGAAAAGGAUGUGUGGGAUGAUGCCCAUUUGAAGAAACUCAUUGAUAUAUUGAGAGAAGAGGUUCCAAAUGGAAAUAGACUAUUAGGUCAUCUAAGCAAGAAGGGCUGGAAAAAUGUUUUGGAGAAAUGGGAAGCAAGAACGGGAAAGAAGUAUCCCAAGGAUAAAUUCAAGAACAAAUGGGAUGCAAUAAAAAAUGAGUAUGUUUGGUUCAUGGAGCUGAAAAAUGAAGCUACUGGACUUGGAUGGAAUGAUGCAAAGGGGACUGUUGAUUGCUCAAAAGAAUGGUGGGACGAACAUCUUGUGAGAUGCUAGGAGAGGACAAAAAAGAAAUGCAACCAUUUGAAGUUCAAAAAGCACGGACCAAAGCACCUUGAAGAUUUACAUGUCAUAUUUCAGAAUGUACAUGUCACUGGGGCUAGUGCUUCUUGUGCUGGAGAUUCCUCCGAUGAAUCAAGUGAUGACAAUGCAGUUCUUUUGGAGAAACCAGAAGAUAAUGCUGAAAUAAAAUUGUCCUCUUUGAAGAAACCAAGUGCAAGCAAGAAGCGCAAGCAACCCUCUAAUGUAAAUGAGGAGAAGGAUGAAAAGAGUCCCUUCUUACGGUUUUACAAGCAGACAUGUCAGAAGAUAGAAAGUGGAGUCGACAAGAUAACCUCAAGUGUGAAGGCAUCAUCGGUGCCAACCAACCAUGCCCCUACCAUUUCAGAGGUCAUGAAGAUGGUGAAAGAAUGUGGUGUCAAAGAAGAAACUGCUCUCAUGCACACAACGCUCACUCUUAUGGUGAAGCCUGACUUUAGGGAAAUCUUCAAUGCUCUUGAAACAAAAGAAGGGAGGCUUGAUUACCUGAAGAGGGAGCAUGAGAGGGAGAUGUUGAAGCAGAAGUGCACAUUGAAAGGAGUCCCAAGUUUCUCACCUCGUACACAGAAGCAUAUCAUCAUUGCUUGCAUGGCAUUGCAUAAUUUCAUUCGUGAUAGCAAGUUGCGUGACAAAAUUUUUGAUAAAUGUGAUGCCGAUGAUGAGUAUGUACCUCCAGUGCUACGACGAGAGGUGGCACCAACACAAGCCGAUCCGGUUGAAGAGGAGGAGAACGAAGAUAGCAUGAACAAUAUUCGUAGUAGGAUAACCGAUGCUUGUCUAGCGAUGGCAUCAUAA